rnacentral:rRNA from 1 species
GACGAACGCUGGCGGCGUGCUUAACACAUGCAAGUCGAACGAUGAUGCCCAGCUUGCUGGGCGGAUUAGUGGCGAACGGGUGAGUAAUACGUGAGUAACCUGCCCUUGACUCUGGGAUAAGCCUGGGAAACUGGGUCUAAUACUGGAUACUACCUCUUACCGCAUGGUGGGUGGUGGAAAGGGUUUUACUGGUUUUGGAUGGGCUCACGGCCUAUCAGCUUGUUGGUGGGGUAAUGGCUCACCAAGGCGACGACGGGUAGCCGGCCUGAGAGGGUGACCGGCCACACUGGGACUGAGACACGGCCCAGACUCCUACGGGAGGCAGCAGUGGGGAAUAUUGCACAAUGGGCGGAAGCCUGAUGCAGCGACGCCGCGUGAGGGAUGACGGCCUUCGGGUUGUAAACCUCUUUCAGUAGGGAAGAAGCGAGAGUGACGGUACCUGCAGAAGAAGCGCCGGCUAACUACGUGCCAGCAGCCGCGGUAAUACGUAGGGCGCAAGCGUUGUCCGGAAUUAUUGGGCGUAAAGAGCUCGUAGGCGGUUUGUCGCGUCUGCUGUGAAAGCCCGGGGCUCAACCCCGGGUCUGCAGUGGGUACGGGCAGACUAGAGUGCAGUAGGGGAGACUGGAAUUCCUGGUGUAGCGGUGAAAUGCGCAGAUAUCAGGAGGAACACCGAUGGCGAAGGCAGGUCUCUGGGCUGUUACUGACGCUGAGGAGCGAAAGCAUGGGGAGCGAACAGGAUUAGAUACCCUGGUAGUCCAUGCCGUAAACGUUGGGCACUAGGUGUGGGGGACAUUCCACGUUUUCCGCGCCGUAGCUAACGCAUUAAGUGCCCCGCCUGGGGAGUACGGCCGCAAGGCUAAAACUCAAAGGAAUUGACGGGGGCCCGCACAAGCGGCGGAGCAUGCGGAUUAAUUCGAUGCAACGCGAAGAACCUUACCAAGGCUUGACAUUCACCGGACCGCCCCAGAGAUGGGGUUUCCCUUCGGGGCUGGUGGACAGGUGGUGCAUGGUUGUCGUCAGCUCGUGUCGUGAGAUGUUGGGUUAAGUCCCGCAACGAGCGCAACCCUCGUUCUAUGUUGCCAGCACGUGAUGGUGGGGACUCAUAGGAGACUGCCGGGGUCAACUCGGAGGAAGGUGGGGAUGACGUCAAAUCAUCAUGCCCCUUAUGUCUUGGGCUUCACGCAUGCUACAAUGGCCGGUACAAAGGGUUGCGAUACUGUGAGGUGGAGCUAAUCCCAAAAAGCCGGUCUCAGUUCGGAUUGAGGUCUGCAACUCGACCUCAUGAAGUCGGAGUCGCUAGUAAUCGCAGAUCAGCAACGCUGCGGUGAAUACGUUCCCGGGCCUUGUACACACCGCCCGUCAAGUCACGAAAGUUGGUAACACCCGAAGCCGGUGGCCUAACCCCUUGUGGGAGGGAGCCGUCGAAGGUGGGACUGGCGAUUGGGACU